CGCGGCGCCGGGCCCUGGCCCUGGGGGCGGUGUAAGCGUGCAAGCAGGCCGGCCCCGGCAGAUGCCCGUGAUGAGAAAAGACUUAUUACCCAGGAGACAUCUGAGAUUUUUCACACACAGCUUGAAAUACACUGGUAUCACAGCCAUGCCCAGGCCUGGUGGUGGCCUCAGCACCGACCAGAGCAACCAUGGUCACUAACAUAAACCAGGUAGCACCUGUUCCAGCACGCUGAGAUAAAAGGCUGCUCACAUUGGUUUCACCUCUCACUCUACGCUCACCCUCGUCUUUUUUGGGCACUUGGAACUACCGUUGCCUUGCGAAAGUAAGGAUCAAAUUAAUACAACUUGGUCUUCAGAGCUGGGUUUAGUUAUCAAACCAACAUGGCUGUGGUGUCCGCCUGCCCUCCGUACAGACCGACAGGCCCACCAGCAUGAAGCAAGUCAAAGGAUGAGAUAGCUUCAGCAGCUUAUGGAAAAGCUGAGCAUCUGGAAUCUGAACUAACUGCAAUGGAUGGGAAAAUGAAACAACUUCAACUAGAUCACUACAAGUCUGAGGGAAGCUUUGUGAGAUCUGCCCAUGGGAAUCAACAGGAGGGAAAAAACAUCUUACUCAACGAUUGGAGGACAUGCAGUAAUCACUCUUGAGCAGCAGCACUGAAUUUUAGGCCGUUGUUACCCUGAUACACUCCAAUGCUAUUUUAGGAAAAACGUCUGCUUCCAGCCACCUUAUAAACACAUAGUGUAGAGAGAGGAGACUCUGAUGUGGAGUCUCUGGAGUCUCUCUAUAAUCUCUUGAGGCCACACAUGAACAGAGAGAGAAUAUCUUUCUUAAGGAGCAUUAUCACAUGAGUUUUCUGUGAGCUGGAUUAUCAGAAAAAUAAACAUUAACAAACACCGGAGACUCACAUGAAAGCAAUCUAGUGAGUGAAAGCAUCAUAUUAGCAAGUGUCACACGGACAGAUCGUAACAGAUAGUGAUAAGAUGGCUCCACAAGGCUCUCAGGCUUUUCUUGCUACUCAAAUUCGUUGUAUUACAUCCUACUUAUAAAGUAAUCUUCUGAGAGCCAUGCUACUGAAGUGUUUAUCACAUCAAGCGUGAUCAUAAUACAUAAAGGUGAGGAGUUUGUAGCAUUUUUUUAAGGUAGGGAAGUUCGCUUCCUUCUCAACCAUAAUCCUGCACUUGUUAAGAAGAUGAGAGACUUCUGACAAAACAGAGUGGUUUAUAAAGAAUUCAGACUGCAGAUGAGUUAUUGUUCCCUUUGCAUGUCAAUAGGCCACACUUUAAUUUUUUCCAUACAUGAAGAGACUAGUGCAUAGGUAUUACAUAAACUACAUAGCAGGGACCCAGUAUAGACAUAGAAAGUUACCUAGUAGACUCUCAGGUACAAAGCAUUCUUUUCAAUUUCCAUAUAUCUCUCACUGUGUUGCUAGGAUUUACAGUGAAAUUUAUUGUUGAUCUAGAAAUUGAUGUAGAUUAAUGCAUUAACCAAAACACUGUAUCUCCCCUUCAUAUCUGUUAAGACUAGCACUGAUGAGUCAUUCUAUAGCCAAUUAGGAGAAAUCUCUGGCUUGGUAGCCCUUGUCCUUAUGGGAGAUUUCAACUUCCCAGACAUCAGCUGGGAAUACCAACUGUUGUGACAAGCAAGUCUGGGAAAUUCCUGGAGAUUGAAGAUAAUUUAUUGUCACAAGUACUCAGCCAGCUAGAAAAGGUGCCCUAGUAGAUUUGUCAUUUGUGAAUAGAGAAAGACUUACAGGAGAUGUGGUGGUAGGUGGCUGUCUUGGCCACAGUGAUCAUGAAAUGCUUGAGUUGAAAAUUCUCAGUGUAAUGAGAAAAAAGUUCACUAGAGUUGCUGCCCUGUAUUUCAAGAGAGCAAACUAAGCUACUCAGGGAGCUACUUCGCAAUGUCCCCUGGGAAUGUGCUUUUGAGGGCUCAGGGAUCCAUGAGUACUAGUCAGUUUUAAAGAACAACCAUUUAAAAACACAGAAGCAGGCAAUCCCCUUGUGUUGCAAGUGAAGCAAGUGGGGCAGAAGACCAGCUUGGCUGAAUGGGGAAAUCUUCUUGGAACUCAGAAGGAAAAAGACAUUGGAUGAUCUAUAGAAGCAAAGUCAGGUUUGCAGGGAGAUUACAGAGACAUGGUUCACAUAUGCAGGGAGACAAAAUGAAAGGCUAAAGCUCAACUAGAGUUAAAACCAGCCACUGCUGUACCAGAAAAAAAGAAAGGAUUUUUAAAGUACUUUAAUAGCAGGAGGACCUCCAACAAACAUAUAGAAGGCAGAAUUGUUGAAGAUGGUCCCAUGGCAAAUAGGGGUGCAGAAGAAGUGGAAGCAGGCAGUGCUUUUUUUUGAGUCAGUCUUUAAUACUGAUGAUAGGCUGUCUGGUCCUCUGAGUUGAUGGACCAUGACUGCGGGAAGAGUGUCUUGUGACAGUUGUCCUCUGGGUUGUGGCCGCUCAGGUCUUGAAGACCUCCAGGCUAAGGGAUCCCACAGCCUCUGGGCAACACACUCCAGUGCUUCAUGAUUCUCCAGCGGUGAUCCCGGCACCACUGCCUCCCAAGGAGGGUCCUCGCCCACGGCCCAGCCCCCUCCGGCAGCCCUGCGAGACCCAGCACGGAGGAGCUCCCCGGCACCUCGUCCGCAGCCCGUGGUGGGGGUCCCGGCAGCCAGCCCUCUGCUCCCACUGCCAUCCCUGCGGAGCAAGAGGAGCCCCAGGAGAAGCCAGGGCAGGCUGUGCCUGGGCCCUCCACUUCCAGCUGGGGCAGUGAAGGCUCCCCUGAAGGGCCACAGCGACCCCCAAAGAGGAGGACCGGCAGCUCCGACACCUCUCCGGACAACAAGAGGCCAGCACCGUGACGGUGACCCUGGAGGAAUGACAGAGCCCAGAGGGUUGUGAGAAGCAGCAGAGUCUAGUUGGAGGCCUGUAGCUAGCGGUGUGCCCCAGGGGUCAGUGCUGGGUCCAGUCUCGUUCAACAUAUUCAUCAGUGACCUGGACGAGGGGACAGAGUGCACCCUCAGCAAGUUUGCUGACGAUACCAAGCUGGGAGGAGUGGCCGAUGCACCAGAAGGCUGCGCUGCCAUUCAGCAAGACCUGGAGAGGCUGGAGAGCUGGGCGGAGUAGAACCAAAUGAAAUUCAUCAAGGGCAAGUGUAGGCUCCUGCACCUAGUGAAGAACAACCCCACGCAUCAGUACAGGUUAGGGGUUGACCUGCUGGGAAGCAGCUCUGCAGAGAAGGACCUGGGAGUCCUGGUGGACAACAGGUUCUCCAUGAGCCAUCAGUGUGCCCUUGUGACCAAGAAGGCCAAUGGUAUCCUGGGAUGCAUUAAGAAGACUGUGGCCAGCAGGUCGAGGGAGGUUAUCCUCCCCCUCUACUCUGCCCUGGUGAGGCCUCAUCUGGAGUUCUGUGUCCAGUUCUGGUGUCUCCAGUUCAAGAAAGACAGGGAACUACUGGAGAGAGUUCAGCAGAGGGCUACAGAGAUGAUGAAGGGACUGGAGCAUCUCUUGUAUGAGGAAAGGCUGAGAGAGCUGGGUCUGUUUAGCCUGGAGAAGACUGAGAGGGGAUCUCGUGAAUGCUUAUACAUAUCUAAAGGGUGGAUGUCAAGAUGAUGGGCCAGACUCUUUUCAGUGGUGCCCAGUAACAGGACAAGGGGCAACGGGCAGAAACUGGAACACAGGAAGUUCCAUCUCAAUAUGAGAAAAAGCCUUUUUACUGUGAGGGUGACAGAGCACUGAACCAGGCUGCCCAGAGAGGUUGUGGUGUCUCCUUCUCUGGCGAUACUCAAAACCCGCCUGGACGAGAUCCUGUGCAACUUGCUCCGGGUGAUCCUGCUCCAGCAGGGGGGUUGGACCAGAUGACCUCCAGAGGUCCCUUCCAACCCCCACCAUUCCGUAAUUCGGUGAUUCUGUGGUUCUGUGAUGCUGUUUAAUGGGCUUUAACUUACGGUCAGCCCUGGACUGAUCAGGAAGUUGGACUAGAUGACAGUUGUAAGUCCCUGCCAACUGCAACUAUUCUAUCCUAUUCUAUGCCAUCCCAUCCCAUCCUGUCCCAUCCAGUCCUGUCCUACCCUGUCCUGUCCUAAACAACUGUUCAUGAAAGCUGCUGAAUGAAAUGAAACCAGAAAGUCAAAA